CACCUUGUAAAGCUAGCUUCUCAGGUCCUCUCCAUUAAAUUUUAGUAAAUAUAGGCAAAGAGGGUGAAUAAGGUAUAGUUUGGGAGGGUUUUGGUUUGGGUAAUGGAUGUGGGGUUUUUGGUGGUGGUAUAGCUUUUAAGGUGAGUUUGGUAUCUAUGGAUGGGGAAUUUAUUGUUUAAAUUAGGAAGCAUAACUCAUGGGUGGUUGUAUAUAUUGGAAAGGGAGAUGUAAGUAAGAGAGUGGGUGUUGAAAAGGGGGUUUUGCAUAUUUGUAUAGACUCAUAUUUGUCUAAUAGAACCCUUGAAGUGAAGGUUAUUGGUGAGAUCCAAGUAGUGCAUGUUAUGGGAAACUGCACAAUGAAAGGGGC
rnacentral:lncRNA from 1 species